rnacentral:rRNA from 1 species
AACGUAGGAGACAAACGUUAUCCGGAGUUACUGGGCGUAAAGGGCGUGUAGGCGGACUGUUAAGUCUGGCGUGAAAGCUCCCGGCUAAACCGGGAGAGGUCGUUGGAUACUGGCAGACUAGAGGGUGGUAGAGGCGUGUGGAAUUCCGGGUGUAGUGGUGAAAUGCGUAGAGAUCCGGAGGAACACCAGUGGCGAAGGCGACACGCUGGGCCAUACCUGACGCUAAAGCGCGACAGCAUGGGGAGCAAACGGG